GGCCUCGUGGCGCAAUUGGAUAGCGCGACGACCUCCUAAGUCGUAGGUUGUGGGUUCAAAUCCCGCCGGGGCCACCA
rnacentral:tRNA from 14 species